AAAAAGUAUAGCUCAAUGAAGACCUGGGAGGAAAUAAAAUAUAAAGCCUCCAGUGAUGUCCUUGAAAUAAUACUACCAAAGAAGAGAUGGCUUUAGGGUAGAGAGGCCUCCUCAUCCCCAGAGGUGGUCAAGGAAAGGCAGGGGUUCCAGGCUCUCAAGAAGACUGCAGAGAACAAAGGAAGAUUCUUUGAAAUAUUGAUUUCAAAUUUUGUUCAAAAUGUGAAAUCAAUGAUAUAUUAAUUCUAAAUAAUCCUCUACUCUGCUAGGUAAGUCUAUGGAAUCUGUCUUAUCCUCAUGGCUUCUACGCAUGAGAUAUGUCUAAAAAUCUCUUCCAAGUCCAAUCCAGAAUCAACACUUACAUAAAGCAGGAAGGAAAUAUAAGUGCUCUGGGUCAUUCCUUGACAGCAAUGACCAAAAUGGCAGUUACAGUGGUAUUUGUGUGAUUAGCUCUUUAAUGUCUCUUUCUUUCCAGGUUUUCUCAACUGGGGUUCCUCACCUAAACCACAGAACUCAGAAAAUGCAUAGCAAAUCAUUUUCUCAAUUACUCCAGGGAAUCUGACUUCAAGCAAUUGUAAGAGUUGUUUACCUAGUCUAUGUGAGGUUGUUAUUUGUAUGUCUAAAGUCUGUCGGAUGGGAAAUCAGUUAGGAAGGAUGGAAUGAACUGGGGAAAACAAGGUCAAUCUAGACCUUACAAGGCAAAACUGGAACUCAUCAUUGUCUUUCAGCAUCCCCAAGCCUCCAGCCUUGAGGAUGCAGUGUCCUGAAGGCAGAACUGGCUUCACAGAACUGUGAUCUAUGCAGUCCACUCAGGGCCCCUUGCUCAAAAGGAUCUCAUGCUUGGUUUAAUGCUAUUGUUGCCAUCUUGAAAUUCAAUGUUUGAACAAAAGGAAUUUUGUAUUUUCAUUUUACAGCCAGCCUCAGAAAUUAUGCAUCCAGAUAGCCUGUGAAAAGGCUGGUGACCCUCAUCAUGCACCUAGCUCAGGAGUUGGAAAAACAGAAGCAGAAGAUUCCGUUGUUGGCCCAUGCCGACCACAUUUGCCAGCAGAGUCACCAUUUUCAGUCCCAGUCCAGCCUAAACACUGAUUUUUGCCAACUGAUCACAUGGGCUCUCAGGAGAAAAUCCAUAACUAAGACGUGGAUGUCAAGUUAAUAAACCUGCAGAACACUAUUGUUAAAUUCCAUCAGGAUGAUGCAAGUUUACUAACUAGAACCCAUUUAUAAUUAUAGUAUUUGUCAAUAUAUUUGUCAUAACUAAAAUUCCAUUGUCAUUAAGCCACAUACUCUGGAAUAUUAAUCCAUGAUUGUUUCAUUUUAAGAAUACUAAAUGAAAGUAAAGAGACAUUUCAAAAUAAGGUUACAUGAUAAAAUUAAAUUUUAUGAAACAGUUUUAAGAUAUCAGAAUACUUUCUAUAACAAAACUUGAGUACAUAAUAUCCUCCUACAAUAAAAAAUAAUGAAAUUUCAAAGAGAAAAAGGCAGAAAUGAGUUACAUAAACACUCAACUUUGGGGAAGGAAAGGAAGGACAAAAGAUGAAAGAAAGGGGAAAAAAAAUCAACACAAAAGAGCAUUAGCUCUAAAAUCCUGUGCACAGACCUCCAGCUGUUUUUUCUUGACUUUAUUUUUAUAUGUGACCCUCAACAUAAUAUAAGCAUGGAAUUCAUUUCUUGGUACAACUCAUAAUUAAUUUACUCAAAAUAUUUCUAAUCAAUAUUUUCCAGGUAACUUUUUAACUCUCAUUUUAAUCGUUUAAACUUAAAGACAUAUGAAAAUGCAUUAAUAGUAUUUUUUAGCUGUGUUUAUAAAUAUAUAGAACAUAUUUAAGCUUUGAUUUUAGUGGUUCUAUGUCUUCUACUAGAUUUUAAGUUCCUUGAAAUGAAAUAAAAUAAGGACAUUUCAUCUUUUUUAUUAUCUUUCCACCCCUAAGAAACUGUAUUGCAAGUAGUCAUGUUUAAAAUCAUUUUCCUAUUCCCUGGCUUAUUUUGAGAAGCCUUAGGAGGUAAUCCUAAACUGGUUAUCAAACAAUGCAAACAUCUUUUAAAUAUUGAGUCAUGGGUACACUGAAUAGUUUUAUUAAUAGUACUGAAAUAAUGUAAC